rnacentral:tRNA from 1 species
GGAUGUAUGGCUCAGUGUUAGAGCAUUAGACUAUCGCUCUGUAGGUCUCGAGUUCGAGUCCUGCAACCUCCG